CGCUGGGUGGAGCAGUGGUAGCUCGUUGGGUUCAUGUCCCAAAAGUCGUGCGUUCGAAUCGCACCCCAGCAA
rnacentral:tRNA from 1 species